rnacentral:rRNA from 1 species
AGGACGAACGCUGGCGGCGUGCUUAACACAUGCAAGUCGAGCGGAAAGGCCCUUCGGGGUACUCGAGCGGCGAACGGGUGAGUAACACGUGAGUAAUCUGCCCCUAGCUCUGGGAUAGCUCCGGGAAACCGGGAUUAAUACCGGAUACGACCACCUUAGACAUCUUUUGUGGUGGAAAGAAUUUCGGCUAGGGAUGAGCUCGCGGCCUAUCAGCUUGUUGGUGGGGUAACGCCUACCAAGCGACGACGGGUA